UGGAUCACUGCAGUCUGGAUGGAUAUUUAUCUGUUAUCAUUUUGGCAGAGUUGUUUACCUGCUAUGAUGCUUGGAAUUGGAUUCAAUAUGUUGUCUGAAUUGGGGCAGUAAGAGUAGAGAGGCAGGACCCUCUUCCCCACACCCUCCUGGUGGCGGUUCUUCUCACUGAUUGCUGUGCUCUAUAUCGAGGUCCAGGGUGCCUUGUGUGGUACUGGUGCUCUCACCCCAGGCCUUUUGGCAAAACAGAAAUAGAUGAAAGUCUGAUUCGGUCAGACAGAAACCAGUCGUCGCUCCUGCAUGAUAACAACAUGAGUAAUCUAGAAGGCAUCGACCGUGUGGUGUCCGGCCAAGAGAAUUAUGUCAACAGCACAAACGCCAGGCUUAUCUGCAGCAAAAGUCUGUCCACGUGGCCGUACAAGUGUCUGGACCUUGAGCCCAGGAAUGUGGAGAGACUUACUGGCCAGACACAAGCUGUCAACAAGCAAAACUUGCAUACAUAUUCUGCUGAUUUCUGAUAAGAAAGCAUUGUUGGCUGCUUCUAUGACACAAAAUCCCUUUUUUAUUAAAUCUAUAACUCACUGAUCAAUAUAAUUCAUGGUGGUGAUUGCAUGAAAUAGGUAUAUAGAGGGUCAGGAUAAACAUAAAAAUGGUAGUUCACCAAAAAAAAAAAAAAAAAACUAUUUGACCUAUUACUCACCAUCAUGCCUUU